AAGAGAGAAAAGAAUAUGAUAACAAAUGAAAGUAAGUUUAGAAAAAAUAAAUAUACAGUUAAACUUCUAUAACUCGAAAUUCUAGAACAAGAAGAUCUCCAUAAAUCGAACUCUUGAAUUCGCAAUAGAAGUCAAAUUUCAUACAAAUUACCUUCCGUAACUCGAAGUCUCUCUAACUCGAAGUUUGUUUGCGGGUUAUGAUGAUUCGAGUAAAGGAAGUUCAACUGUAUAUGUAUUUUAGUCUAAAAUAUAAAAUUUGGCCGAAGGCUCCAGCACACUUUCUCCUCGAAUUUAUACUAAUUGGAAGAAGAAGCACAAAAUCCUCGGUUGAAUUAAUCCACAAAGUGAGACCAUUGUGAUUUCUAACAGACAGUGUAGAGCAUAAUAAACCAUAGUUCGUUAAUGAUCUAUAUAAUUCUAUAAAUCCUAAUCCUAAAUACCCAUCUUUAUUCACCAUGAAGAUUAAAUGAACUUAAUUUCUCGCUAAUUCUGCUCUGUUGUGCUGGCAAAAAUUAAAAAAGGUCAUUGAGUUCAAAGUGAAAAUUUUCUGAAAGUCGUCUAUUGUGUACAGAAAUAAUGAUUUUAGUGGUUCUGAUGGUUCAUCUGUAAUACUUUGUCCUUUAUAUUCGUCCAACAUAACUCAGAACAUUAUGCUUCCGAAGUCUAUCGAAUCAUUGGCAGAGAAGCUAUUCCUUGGAUAUUAACUAUAUGAAUGUGAAGAGGUUACAUCGAAUUGUGUCUAUUAUUUAUCUAUUUUUCCUAUUCGUUACAAAUUAUUUUGACCAUCGGUCCAGCUAAAUAUAUCGGACUUAAUGGUAUUUAUUGAUCUUGAUUGAAACAUUUUUACUUAAACCACAAAUUUAUGACAAAUAUUACAAUAUGUCCAUUUUAGCCUUGAGUUCGCUGACUACACGCUCAAGGCUGGUUAAGGAAUGCUUAUUUUCACAAUGAGUGGCAUCGUUUUACUUUUCUAUUAGGCUGGUCGGUAUUACUGGCCACAGCGAAAUCGCGGGAAAUUGUAAGGCUGUUGAGCUGACAAGGUCAGGUACGUCUGUCUCACUAAUAGUAGCAUGGGAAAAUGUAGGAGCACCCUUCUCAUACUAGGUGGGACUCGGCCGAGCUGGGCCAGCGCUGGACAGUCACUAGCACUAGUGCAGAUCUUUCAGGCUUAAGGUGAAUCGCUGGAGGUCUAUACUGAGCUCUUUGCGCAUAGUAAAAUCCACUUCUCCUUAGUCUAACUGGCCAUUGUCCCUUCGGAAUACACGCUGUAAGGUUAAUAAUCUUAUCGGAUGCAAGCUGUAGAAGCUGCCUGAGGAGGACGAGAUGGAUUAAUCUCAUCACAUUCUUCUUGAAUAUCCCGUCUUUGUGAGAUUAGGAAAAAUAAUUCACGGAUCUCACAUUUUCGAACAAUCGCGCGAAAUAGAGGAUAUAAAACAGAAAAGUCUCUGCAGAUUUGUAGUAGGUUCAGGACACUUUGUCUAAUUCUAAUACUUAAUCAAGGGCGCUUCACAAAGGACUGCCUUUCAUAGUCUACGUGUGUUUCCGCUCUGGGAACAGCCAUACAACCUAACCUAACUAUCUAACGAGUUAAAAAGCUCGCCGAACUUGCGAAAAUCAAUCUUGAAUCAGUUUAUUCAUAUCAUUUUCUGUCUCGAAGAUCGAUCGACUGCGAUCACUCGACUUAAUGGUCCAUUUAACGAUAAUCGCACAUAUUUUUUAUGUUAUACACCUUUUCGUACUUUGCCAAAACAAAAAUUACCAUCUUCGAAAGUAAUGAACUCAUUCUCACGACAGCAUGAUCGCCUGUGAUCACCCACCUACACUAAUUUCUUCUGAAGAAGAAUAUGUUUGCGAGUGCAAAAAAGAAAUUACAGUGCAUAUAAAUACAUAAUGGGCAUAUCAUUUAAUUACGCUUUCAAUCAAGUAAUUAGUACUACAAAUGGUUUAUAAGAUAUUCAAAGUAGUAGAAACAAUAGCAAUCGAGUAUAUGUGCGCUCAGUGUUUGUGUAGAUUUCUUCGAAAUCAGCUACUAAGAAGAAUAGCGAUUUACAUGCAUUUUACUCGCCCCAUAGUCAACGCCGUGCUGUCUGCCGCACAUAAGUUGCACUUCGGAAUCGAAAUGAACUGUAAAUGAAUUUAUCAAACAAAAAAUAUUUAAUUAGGAAAUGCACCGCCUAACCACUUCUUCAGCCCUUGGGCGGAAAGUUGUUGACAAUUUGAUAAAUUCGUAAAUAUUUGCUUAAGCUGCAAUGUAGAGCACAAAGAGUUUGUCGACGGAGACUAUAGGGUGGCACUAGAAAUGUGGAUGAUGAGCUGAUUGAGAUGAGAAUUUAAUCAGAAAGAGGUACAUAACCUUACAUAUAUUACUUCAAAGGUACAAAAAUCGGUCUCAAACGUUCUAUAAAGACUACUGUCGGGUUUCCUAUCAGAUAUAACCUCUCAUUAACUUUGCGUUGUCUUAAAGCAUUUCCAUAGCCUUAUGGAUGGUUUUAGGAGUAGAUUUCGUACUCGUAGUAAUUUAUCUCUUGAUGUCAUUUCGUGAGAUGAUUUAUUGAGCUCUAUAUCAACCCUAUAACACUGAUCGCUGGUAUUAAAUAUGUCUACCUGGGAUCUUGACUCUAUCAAUUGCCAAUACCACCCAUUUUUAUGUCGUUAGUUGGAAUCUCUAUCCAUCAAACCAUGCGCCGCACUUUUCUCUCUCUCAAUCGCUCCCACUUUUCGCCUGAGUCUGUUCAGCCACAUUUAAACUAACCUAACAUAACCUAAGGGUAAAUGUUUGAAACCUUUUAUAUAACUUCCUGCUGAUAUAGCUAUACUAUAUAUAUAUAUUUUAUGUUUUCUUUCUUACUUUUCUCAAUAACUGUAUUCACGAGGGUAUGUCUGUUUGUAUGCGCGUCUUCGAGCACCCGGCAUAAACAUGUGUUCGGGCAUUUUUUUACCAGCGAGCGUGAUCAGCAAUUGCCGCUAUCAAUGGCUUGGAAUAUUAACUAGCAACUUUUGCAUUUAAUCAGAUUUUCUAGCGACACUUCCAUGUACAUACUAUAUAUGUAUAUAUAUAUAUACUAGAAUGUCUUAGCUUGCUUCCUCAAUUUCUCCUUUAGCCUGCAUGUUUAUUGGAAAUAAAAUUUUGAUAACAAAUAAAUACAAUAAUUACAAAGUCUUCUUGUCAUUGUCGACGUUGUCGUCGCUCGCGUUGACACUUGCCGGGAUGCUACGCCUUAUGUUGUUGGUGCUGCCAUUGUGGGCUGUGUGCUGUGUGUGCUGACGUUGUGAUGACAACAACAAGCACAACAGCAGCGGGAUUUUGUUUUUAAAGUCGCGCUUAUCAGCUGAAUUUUGCUUUAAUUCAUUUCAUUUCACAAGUGUAGAAAUUUAAAAAAUAAUAAUAAUAAUGGGAAAAAAUUUAAGUAAAUCAUUUUGACUUAGUAAUCACAUUGCUUGCUUCGAAAAUCAACUGAUCGUUUUUCUAUAACAUCACACAAGCGCAGGCAUAAAUCUAAAGCUUUUCGUUUAUACAAAAUGUGAUCGAAAUUUUUGUCAAGCCCUCGCAUGCCGCUUUUGUUGCCAAGCGCUUGAAAUGUUUGCUUUUUAUGUAUGGAAACAUAAACUCAUACUACAAAUGAACAAGCAUUUGACUUUGGCUAGGGGGUUUCCACGAUAAUUCCAGAGCUCAUAAACGUAAAAUAGCUUAGACAUUGGCUAAACUUGCUAUAUUUUAGAAAAUCCCCAACGUUUUGAUAGCAGUUCGUGCCUUUUUGAAUUUCCCGCGCAGUUAUCUUGAAUACAUCAUUAGCUUGAUAACUGACCGAACAGUUUUUCGGUACAGUGCUAUCAGAAUGUUUGUUCUUAAAAAACAGAGGAAAAUCAAACUGAACUGCAAUCCAGGCUUUUGAAGAUCUCUCUUAGACAAACUGUCAAAGAUGGAUCCGACCCCUCAUGUGCACUUUUAGACAAAGCGCCGUCUGCUCAAUUCGGUCCCUCUACCUUUGACUGUAUGAAUAAAGGUAUAACAUACCAGAUUUUUCGAAUUUAGUCGCGAUCGUAGAAUAGGUACAGACCGAAAGAGAGUAUAAUAUGAUUCCCGACUUUCGAAGCAAUUUCAACAAUGCACAUCUAGACAUUUUAGACAAAUCGUAUGGAUAGAUCUAUUCACAACUGUGAAAACACUGAGAACCUUUCAUGAAACCACUAGGUCCUUGAAAACAUUUAGGCGAAGAAUUAAGAGAGCGAGGCCCUAUCGUCCAAUAGUAAGCCGCAAGAAGACGGCGGAGCGCUGAUUAUUCAAGAACGUAUAGGCCUACAACUUUGCUUUUUUGUAAAUUGAAGUUUUUUUUGUAUAAAAACGGUUACAAAUGUCGAUGAGCCUCAGCCGCACUUUUCUUGGAAUUAUAAAAGAAAAGCAAAAUUUCCCGCAAAUGUCGAGAAUUCGACUCAAAAAGUGACAUUUUCAGUUGAGAAUAAGUUUGGGAUGCAAACAGAUCUCUACAAAUAUUUUGUUGUGUUAAUGUUGACACAAAUGUCCAAGAUCGAUAUAAAACGAUUUAAUCGACCAGUGCUAGACCCUAGAGACAUCUAUUGGAAAACGGCGGAAGCAAAGUUGUAGACCUAAUAUUUUUUCUUUGGAACACACAUAGAUUUGAGUGAACGAACCCAAAUAUCAAUAUGUAUCCGGCAUAUCCAUAGUGGUAAAAACGAUUGGAUUAUCUUUAGGAUGAUAAAAAAUUUAUUUGUUACAAACAGAAAUUUACCGUUAUUUUUAUGUUCCAGUACAUUUAAGGGGAAAACUCAAAGUCUUUUAAAAGCUCGUACAAAUCUAGGUUUUAAAAUGAAGCACCCCACUUUUUGGCGCCUGCAGAUCUGAGUAAAACAUUUAUUGCAUCAUAAAAUUUGAUUUCACAAUUUCUAGGGAUUACUGCAUACAAUUUAAUAUUUUUUAUGUUCCCUUAGUUAGAUUAAUCUUUACAGAUAAUUAAUUUUACAUACUCACACACAUUCGUAUGACGUAGACAAAGUGAAAUAAACAAAUCUGCCUGCUACUGGUACGAACUAAAUCACAGCAGACUAUUAGUAGACAAUAAAUGAAAUAUUUUACUUUAUUAAAACAUGAAAUGCACAGUUAGGAAUCUUCACAAAAAAACAGAGAUACAUUAACGAGAUAUCACUGGUCUUGAAUCAUUUUUCGUUUGUCGAGUGAAACUUUCAUUUUGUACUAUAGACAAUGCUACAAGUGUAAAGAAAUAGAAUACAUCAAUGCGCAAGAAUGCAAAAAAACCCGAAGCAAAUUAUAAUAGAAUUUAUGAAAAAAAAACAGAAAAACAAAGAAUUUUAUAGAAGUAUGUGUGUGUGUUUUUGUAAUCGAAUUAUUUCAUUCGCCAACGACUCAAUUCAUUGGUGGCUUCAAUCUUUGCUGUUGCUAGUAAUUUAUAUCAAUUGACCUAUUGCCAUAAUAUGCAACUGACCGGGCCAAAGCAGACAAAAGGAAAUGUUAUGAAGACAAUAAGGAAUACACAUAACUUUGAGUAAGACUCAUGAAAUAUUCGUAACUGCGUGUAUGUGUGUGUGAGUAUAGUAUCUUAUAUGGCUUGUAUGUACUUGUAGUGAAUGCGCUAAGAAGACAGCCAUAUGAAAUCUAAUUAAUUACAUUUAAGCAGCAUAACUAAAUCGAGCUCGUAAAUAAAGCAAUACAAAAGUAAUGAGGCGCAAAUGUAAAUGGAAAUGAGCUGAUUGUAUGAAUGUAUGUAUUAGUGUAUGUAUGUGGUCAUAAUGGGUGUUUCAAAUGAGUUCUCAUAUAUGAUUUAAUUUCAAAUUUUUCUUUAAUAAAAGGUCUCUGUUAUUGUCUUCAAAGUAGAUAAUCUUGGAGUCGAUACGAAUCACAACAUGUUAUAUUGGCUUGUCGACCACAACAUGAAGUUAUUAAAACAAAAAUCUCUCAUACCCAAGCAUCCACGAGCCUUUGUUGAGUCAGUUCAUAAGACAUAUUCAGAACUACUGUUUCCUAUAAUAGGAACGCGAUGAUUUUCGAGCUCUAUUUUCUUUCAAUUUUGGAUAUUACCGUUAAAAGACCUAGUUGGAAGACUUGUUUGAGAUUUUUUUUGCGAUAUCAAUAUACCCUUUGAACAUCUAUUUUCAUUCAGUCUUUUGUAAAAUCUUGACUUAGUCGAAACAGGAAUUCUAAAGGGAACUAAGAAGUUUCUAUUUGAAACAAUAUUAUUUGACAAGACUGCAGGUGGUGGAAAGAAUUCUCACUCCGUUUCUAAUUAUAUAAUAUAUUAGCUGUAUAAGGUGGUCUCGAACUUUCAUAAGUUGUUGAAAACCCUAUUUCAUAUUCUUACCUAACUUGAAGAACGAAAUUUUUCCUCAAAGAGGCUCUCUCAACUCGUUCGAUUUUUACAUGCCGCACAAAAUUGUGAUUCAAGAGCUCUAAUCCAUGAAUGAGCAGUCAGUCACUUGUGGGCUUAGAGGUGGACAAAGGUGUCUAUAAUAACAAGAAGUGCCUUAGCUAAAAUCUAUUAAAAGUUUUAGAUUCAGAAAAGAUUGAAAUAAAUGAGAGCGAAAUCUUCAAUAUUUCUACGAGUAUGAGUAAUGAAAUUUUCCACAAUUCUUUUUACAAUUCAAUUAUCACUAAUUAAAAUGUUUACAAGCGCUUGGGGGUAUCUCCAAAUACAAAUGAAUGCCAAGUUAUCUUCAUAGUAAGUCAAAAAAACCCUUUAAGUUUUCACACACACACACACGGUGGCAACUAAUUAUGGAACGUAUAUAAAAUAUAAUAUUUUCUAUAGUGAUUGUCAUACUUAUGUGUAUGUAUAUUUCUCUUCAGUAUAUGACAGUACAAUUGAGUUUGUGAACUUGAUCAAUAUUUUAAAUAUUAUAAUUGUCACACGACCUAUAGUGGCCUCUUGAUCAUUGAUUGAACGUAACAAUAAAAUUCAAUUGAAGUAACUUCGUCAUGCUCACAUUCCCGCACAACGCAACCCCCGCAAUGUUGACCCCAACCACCAAGUAAUGGGUAAAUAGUUUGGAGCUUGCAUACCCAGUAGGAAAAGUGAUUGAAAAUAUUCUCUCUCAUUAUGAGAGAGGUAAAUUUCAAAAGUGUAUUUUUUUAGAAAAGAGAGAGAGAGAGUGUAAAACAUUUCCAAAUGUGACUUCCUUGAUUUAUUUAAGAGUAAUAUCACAAAGAGUAGAGUAUCACAAAUACAAUUAAAUUUAUUACUUUCUGUUAUCUCGUCAGGGUUGUUCAUAUCAGCAUUCUUCCAAAUUAGCAUAGUAACAUAGUGUUUUCUAAGAAUCUUGCAUUAUUUUUCAAGGAAAUCAUCUAUAUCAUCAUGUCCCCCAAUUCCAGAAAGUGCCCAUACAAUGAUUUUCGUUGAAUUAAUUGAAAUUAAUAAACAAUUUAAUUUAACAAUUAGUUUCAUAUUAUAUUAUAAAGGUCGACCUGAUUUAGUAAUUUUCACAGAACAAUUUGAAGCUAGAUUGCAAGUGCUGUCAUUUAAAUAUAAUAUAUGAGGCUGUCAUCUGUCAUUAACUAUAAUAAAUUAAAUUUAUUUACAAAGUGCCAACUUUAAAGCCUCAAAUUGUCUAAAAAUCUACAAAAAAAGUCAACUGUCACCUGUCAUCUGUCACUUGCCAUCUGUCAUAAUGACAUACUGCCAAAUAUUAUACCAUGUAAAUAAUGUACAGGCUAAUUGACAGCUCUUGUCAAAUAUGAACUGUCAAACAUGUCACAAAAUCUCUGAGAAACAUGGAAAAAUUCAUUGAGAACUCUACACUCAUUAAAAUUUUUGAUUUUGAAUGGAAUUUUUAAUAGAACUAUACUAAAUACAAACAUACAAACAACUUGACAGUCUAACUUGAAGAAAACAUAAUGAAAGUUUGAUAAGUUCGACGCAUGGUUGUGGAAAGAAAAUAUUCCACAAUUAAUCAAAAUACGAGUACACUUCAUGCACGCAAUGUGCACGAACGAUUCUCAUUCUUAAUAUAUUUUGUUGUCUUUUCUUCUGUCUGUUUGUAUGUAAAUUCUGACGCACUGUGAAGACGAGUGAUAACCAUAGCGUCGUAGAAGCAAUAAUAAUAACAAUAACUAAUAUUAUUUGAAGCUGUGGGCGCAGCUAAUAUUUAUACAUAUAGUAUAGAUAUAUUAUUUAAAUGGAACUGAGUCUUAUCGGAAUAUUCAGCCGACCAUAAAGGUAGUCCUAACACAUAUACCAUCUCCUUUAAGGUGGGCAAGUUAGGAUAUCAGAUUGAGAGUCUGAUUUUGUUCAACAGUAGAGAUGAUCACAUUUUCAAGAUGGACUAGAGUCUAGAUACUCGUAUUCACGCUUCAUUAUCAGCGAAACAGAUUCUCCAGAAAGCAAGAUCAUACAAUCAAUAGACGAGAACUUUUGGUUGAAAAUUUUAAGAAAAUUUAGAGCAACGUGAGAUUCAGAGAACAGCGGUUUCACUGACCCCGCUAUAAAUAUUAGGUCUACAACAUUGCUUCCGCCGUUUUUUUUUUUGUAAAUUUAAGUUUUUUUUGUAUAAAAAAGGUUACAAAGGUCGAUGAGCCUCAGCCGCACUUUUCUUGGAAUUAAAAAAGAAAAGCAAAAUUUCCCGCAAAUGUCGAGAAUUCGGUUCAAAAAGUGACAUUUUCAGUUGAGAAUAAGUUUGGGAUGCAAAGAGAUCUCUACAAAUAUUUUGUUGUGUUAAUGUUGACACAAAUGUCCAAGAUCGAUAUAAAAUGAUUUAAUCGACCAGUGCUUGACCAUAGAGACAUCUAUUGGAAAACGGCGGAAGCAAGGUUGUAGACCUAAUAAUUCAUAUCUUGAUGAGUAUACAAGGUGUACUUACUCCCUGUUGCUGUUAUAGCUUUUAGAAGCAUUCUGCAGCGCUUGACAAGAUUUCGCUCUCUAAACUGUUUAGCAUCAUCUUGAUUUUGGCAAUUGUAUGAUUACUUGAUAUACGCAGGCAUAACACAUGACUCUUUAUAUAUACAUACACACAUACAUACUCAUAAACCUAUGUGCAGAAUGUGUGUGUGAAAAAUAAAUAAUCAAAACCAUUAAAUGAUCAUAAACCGGCAAUAAAAAGUUUUUAUUAUAAUAUUUUGGCGCCAAUCAUAAAAAUGUAAAUGCCUUAUAUUCAUUGACAAUUCCAAGUAAUAAUAAAAAUAACAACACAUUAAUGCGAGCGGAAUGAAUUAGUAAGAAAAAUAAACAAUUAAAAUGUUUUCUAUCAAAUAAAAAAAGAAGAAGAACUAUUACCCCGCCGCUCAUUGGUUAUCUGCUGAAAAAGAAGUGAUCACUUUGUGACGUCUCUGGCGCACACACAGCACAUGAACUAAUAAAAUAUAUAUUUGAUAACACGCAACCGAUCGUGCUUUUUGCAUAGAACGACGAUUCUGCUUGCAGUGAGCGACAUUUUCUUUUUGUAGAUUGUAUGCUGCUUCCUCUUCGAAAAUGUGUGCGAAUUUUGCUUUUGAAAUGUUUGCAGUUAACUAUAUUCUGAUUAACAUAUUAAGAUUCGAUUCACGUUUACUUUCGCUUCGCUUUGAUACUUUUUUUUUAUUGACAAGUGGUUUCUCCCUCUUAAAUUUCCCAAAUUUUAUUUCUACAUUAUUGAAUCUAAUUAAACGGUGAUUUUUUCGAUUUAUCUUAUAUAUAUUUUAAAGUAGAAGAACAGGAAUUUCUAUUUCAUUUAUUUCUAAAAAUACUUUUGAAUAUUAUAAAAGAUGAUCCAUUUCGAGGUUCCCUGCUUAAAAAAAAACAGUCGAAUAUUCCAAUAAUGUAUUUUCUGAUAUCGAAGAAAGUACCUCUACUUGGAUCACCCAUUAAACCCUAGAUAAUACUCAUAUUUUUAAGGGUACCAAGCAAGCAAAGAUUUAUCACCAACCCUUUAAGUGUAUGUCCUCUAUUGGAAUAAUUAUUAUACUAUACGCCCAAAUGUAGGCAACACUUUCUGUAGUUCUUCAAUUUAAUUUUAUCACUCAUUUUUUUGGACCUCUCUAAAUAAACCUCGGCUUAGUUCAAAUAUUGGUUAAAUGAAUAACCAUAAAAUACAAAUCAAUUCUUCAGAAGAGGCUGAAUUCACACGAUUCUCGUGCGUGUGGUAUUUUACUUCCGACAAUCCUAAUUCGUCUUCGAAUACUUCACAAAUAGUUCAGAUUUGAAUCAAAUUUUCUUAAAUUGUGUGGAUAUUAAAUAAAGUUCGAGUGUUAGACUGAAUUGAGUUACAAUGGGCCUCCCAAAGACCUAGGAGGACCACAAAACCUAACAUAGACUGAAUUGAUAUCUAUACCACCCAGCUACAAGCAAUCUUCAGAAAAGAAUAUCACAUUGGCAAUCCCCAGAACGUUCUUUGGAGGUUUUAAGGAUGCCUCACCAGUUUUGGAUCCAUUGGAUAAUUUUUAUUGCACCUUUAUUGAGUGCUUCUUCGAGCUUCACCUCCUAUUUUUGCGUGUAAGUCUUCAUGCUAUCCCUUAAAUCGCGGGUCCUGCACCUAAAUAGUUCACGAAUAUGCGUGAGAAGUUUUCCUUCACAUAAAUAAUUACUCAAUUACGGCUAGAAGAUCAUCAAAUCAAUGUGAAAAUGAAAAAACAUGUGUGUGACCCAAGUAAUAAAUAACUUUUACGGCUCAACUAACAAAGUAAUUAUGGUUACAAGCUCCGCAGCAAUUACCAACUGCGAAUUGCAAUUUAUCCAUUAACUACAAUCUAACUUCCUGACCAUAGAAAAUAGAAACCAUAAAAAACAACAAUGUAGUCCUCAAGGAAUCUUGUCUAAAUUGAAAAUAAAUUGUCAUAUGGCGCGAAUAGCUCGCCUUGCCCGGUAUAAAUAAAUUGUUUGCCGAUAUUUUCCACACCAAUGGGCAGCUAAAAAUGCUAAAAAUAGAAGCUAUACAGUAGACAGCCGUUCAU